rnacentral:rRNA from 1 species
GACGAACGCUGGCGGCGUGCUUAACACAUGCAAGUCGAACGGAAAGGCCCUGCUUUUGUGGGGUGCUCGAGUGGCGACCGGGUGAGUAACACGUGAGUAACCUGCCCUUGACUUUGGGAUAACUUCAGGAAACUGGGGCUAAUACCGGAUAGGAGCUCCUGCUGCAUGGUGGGGGUUGGAAAGUUUCGGCGGUUGGGGAUGUACUCGCGGCUUAUCAGCUUGUUGGUGGGGUAGUGGCUUACCAAGGCUUUGACGGGUAGCCGGCCUGAGAGGGGGACAGGCCACAUUGGGACUGAAAUAAGGCCCAGACUACUACGGGAGGCAGAAGUGGGGAAGAUUGCACAAUGGGCGGAAGCAUGAUGCAGCAAAGCCGCGUGCGGGAUGACGGCCUUCGGGUUGUAAACCGCUUUCGCCUGUGACGAAGCGUGAGUGACGGUAAUGGGUAAAGAAGCACCGGCUAACUACGUG